rnacentral:misc_RNA from 1 species
GACGAAUCGUCACCGUUACGGUUGCUCAUGCCAUAGGAUUUAAAGCCGCCGCUGAGCCUAGACCGCUCGAGCUCUUCAGCAGACCGCUGUCGGGGGCCAGUGGGGAGAUUGAGGAGAUCUUCAUGAGUAAGGCCUCUGGAUUGGGUAGGCUGAGACGGCUUAGCGGAGCCAUAGGUGGCGAAUUCAGCUAAAGAUAGGGUUUGAUUCUUCUUCUUCUUAGGCUGUUUGUUGGCUGCGGCGGCGGCUAAAGAGGGAAAUUCAGACUCACCAGAAAAAGUAUCGG